ACUGCGGAGAUCAUUAUCAAGUUACAGCGGAGGCGCUCUCGGGUGUCCUCCUGUCUGCAACCCUUGUCUUUUGCGUACUGUAUGUUUCCUCGGUGGGCUCGCCUGCCGAUAGGACAUUCAUAAACUCUUUGUAAUUGCAAUCAGCGUCAGAAAAACUUAUAAUAGUUACAACUUUCAACAACGGAUCUCUUGGUUCUGGCAUCGAUGAAGAACGCAGCGAAAUGCGAAAAGUAGUGUGAAUUGCAGAAUUCAGUGAAUCAUCGAAUCUUUGAACGCACAUUGCGCCCCUUGGUAUUCCAUGGGGCAUGCCUGUUCGAGCGUCAUUUGUACCUUCAAGCUCUGCUUGGUGUUGGGUGUUUGUCCCGCCGUUGCGCGUGGACUCGCCUCAAAGCAAUUGGCAGCCGGCAUAAGCCUGGGAGCGCAGCACAAUUGUUGCUUC
rnacentral:misc_RNA from 1 species